UUGAAGUUCCCACAUUAAUCACCUACAAGUUUUAACAGUUCAUUUGAUUAAAUAUCUCUAGGAAAAGACUAGAUAGCACUAUGGCAGAUGAAAGACAAUAACAGAACUAGUCUUCAAACAGUCAGGAAAAUAUAUAACUUCAUACAGAGAAUUCAGCAUAGAUUGUUUUGCCAGACAACAAGCAAAAAGAAAUUACCAUAACACAUGCUAGAAAAAAUAAUAAGGGAAAUGAGGGGAAAACCCAGGGGGAGGGGGAGAGAACCAUGAUUGGUCAAAGAAAAUGAGGACACAAAUAAGAUUACCAUCCAAAUACUGCCUAAGCCAUUUCAAGAAAAAUGGGAUUUCCAAUUAUAGAUCCUUUUAAAACAUGUAUUUCUAAAUGCAUUACAAGAUACUGAUACAUAGGAUAAUGUCACAAAUGGGUAGUAUUUCUAUCUUAUUUUUAUAUAAAUGUUUAACAUAAACAAGCAUGAUGUAACUUGAAGACAUGCUCUAUGGCAACUGGUACUCAACUGGCUAUUCAAUUACUUUGAUUGGCCUGCUCAUUUCAAAAUUAGAAGGACAAACAAUUUAUUUAUCUCUAUGAAUCACAAAAUUAAUUUUUUUUUAAAAAGUAGGAAUUAUGUAAACAA
rnacentral:misc_RNA from 1 species